GGUCAUUUAUUAAUGAGGUGGGGUAGGUCUUAGGACUGUAUCAUAUUUUGCCGACCCGAACAUUUUUCUACUUAGUCUGACAACAUGCGCCCCGUUGACAAGUUGAACAUAGAUAACUGUAGCUAAACACAAGUGCAGCGUUUACAGGUAUUAACGGCAGACUGAGACGUGCCCGAGCUUGAACUCGGGAGUGAGUGUGACCAGUCAGACUCACGUAGCAAUCAAGUGACUCAAAUAUAUAUCUUCUCGGACACACGGAACUGAGUACGUGACUGUUGCGCGGAGCAGGCGAGAGAAUAUUUUGCCAAAUAUUUCGGAGUUAGCAUCAAGAUCCACCAUGCUGGAGAGAGGGCCCGGGACCACAGAUCGAGACACUCACACCCUGUGGCCAUCUAACUACAAUGUAAUCCUAGCGUGCGUCGUGUACCAGUUACGUCAUCAGUAUUGACACUGUCCAGUAGCCGCAACAUCAUGGGCCACACACAGAUUACAACACAUCAGAACUUUCGUCAGUGCAUACACUGGUCCUCUUGGUGCUCUCAUUGAUAGGCGGAUGUCAUAGUGUGACGUCCAUGAUUUCUUUCGCAGAGAACAAGAUAGUAACUGCUAUUUCGCAGCGAUAUGAAGGAUUGUGGUGGGCCAAGUGAGAUGGUCCUAGACUGUCAGUGCGAACAACGUGGUGAACAAACAAUGUAAGACUCACGUUUACAAUCAUUUUUCUGAUUGCUUAAUGUCUGAACGGGUAAGUGAAGGUAGCAACACUCUAAAGACAAGUGACAGUUACAGAAAGCUAACCAACAACGGGAGACAACACAUCAUACGUCAUUAUUAUCCUUAAAAAGGUGAACAGAGAUGUCGGUCGGGCUAGAGUGAAAUCUACAACAAAGCGAAACAGGAAAAAAGACAGAGUCUAGAGUAAUUGAGCCUGGAGGAAAAUAGUCGCUCCUCUCGCGCUGACCGUUGCUGCAGCAGUCAUCAGCGUUAUGGUGGUGGUUCUCCUGACUGUGAAGUUCCCUGUAUGCACACUCAUCAAAAGCUUUGGUGGAACGGGAAUAGAGUCAGGGACGGGACCAUAUCCGGGGUGUGUGUAGAUUUGGGGUGGGAAGAAAGCCUGUAUUGCAAGAGAUAUUGAAGGAAGCAUAUGCCUACACAUGUAACAGAAAAGUAUUAUGGAAGCUCAUGUACGAGGUGUAUGUAAAGCGACCUACUUUUUUUAGCUUCUUUUUCCUCUACUUACUUCAGUGUACGUAUCUGGUGUCCGUGGUAGCGACGUGCCAAAUGAUUCACAAUAUCUCAACAAACCUAACUUCAUAAAAUGGCAUCAGUUCUAGAGUCAAACAAGAUUUCUCUAACAGUAGAGAUAGCCUUGCCAAUCUUUUAUCUUUUAUGUUUCAUUUUUCUGGGAUUCCUGUUGGUGUGCAGGAAUCGUGUGUGUGACUUUUUGAAGAAUUUUUCAACAUUUGGCCUGUUGAGAUCCGGGAACGUCCUUCCUGACGUACACGAUGAUGAUAAUCAUGAUGAUGAUGAUUAUGAUGAUGCGGAGGAGGAGGAGGAAAAUGACAUGACAGAAGUAUAAGCGACACUUGGUGUGAUUACACUGCGGGUAGGGGGAGUUGAUGAGCGAUACUGUAGCAUUUCACUGCAUGUCCAAGUACUAGAUAUCAUUUCUAGGAAAAACGGCAUACAUAAACUAGGCAACAAUAAAUUCUGGAUGCAU